rnacentral:rRNA from 1 species
UCCCGCCAACACUGGGACUGAGAACUGCCCAGACUCCUACGGGAGGCUGCAGUCGAGAAUCAUUCGCAAUGGGCGAAAGCCUGACGAUGCGACGCCGUGUGAGCGAUGAAGGCCUUAGGGUUGUAAAGCUCUUUCGCCUGGGACAGAGAGAUAGCU